rnacentral:rRNA from 1 species
ACGAACGCUGGCGGCGUGCUUAACACAUGCAAGUCGAACGGAAAGGCCUCUUUCGGGGGGUACUCGAGUGGCGAACGGGUGAGUAACACGUGAGUAACCUGCCCUUGACUUUGGGAUAACUUCAGGAAACUGGGGCUAAUACCGGAUAGGAGCUCCUGCUGCAUGGUGGGGGUUGGAAAGUUUCGGCGGUUGGGGAUGGACUCGCGGCUUAUCAGCUUGUUGGUGGGGUAGUGGCUUACCAAGGCUUUGACGGGUAGCCGGCCUGAGAGGGUGACCGGCCACAUUGGGACUGAGAUACGGCCCAGACUCCUACGGGAGGCAGCAGUGGGGAAUAUUGCACAAUGGGUGGAAGCCUGAUGCAGCAACGCCGUGUGCGGGAUAACGGCCUUCGGGUUGUAAACCGCUUUCGCUCAUGACGAAGCUUUGUGUGACGGUAGUGGGUAAAGAAGCACCGGCUAACUACGUG